rnacentral:rRNA from 1 species
GACAGAGGGUGCAAACGUUGUUCGGAAUUACUGGGCGUAAAGCGUGUGUAGGCGGCCAUUCAAGUCGGUUGUGAAAGCCCCGGGCUCAACCCGGGAAGUGCACCCGAAACUGGAUGGCUUGAGUAUCGGAGAGGUUGGUGGAAUUCUCGGUGUAGAGGUGAAAUUCGUAGAUAUCGAGAGGAACACCGGUGGCGAAGGCGGCCAACUGGACGAAUACUGACGCUGAGACACGAAAGCGUGGGGAGCAAACAGG